rnacentral:rRNA from 1 species
GGCCAGACUCCUACGGGAGGCAGCAGUGGGGAAUAUUGCACAAUGGGGGAAACCCUGAUGCAGCGACGCCGCGUGAGCGAUGAAGUAUUUCGGUAUGUAAAGCUCUAUCAGCAGGGAAGAAAAUGACGGUACCUGACUAAGAAGCCCCGGCUAACUACGUGCCAGCAGCCGCGGUAAUACGUAGGGGGCAAGCGUUAUCCGGAUUUACUGGGUGUAAAGGGAGCGUAGACGGUGAAGCAAGUCUGAAGUGAAAGGCGGGGGCUCAACCCCCGGACUGCUUUGGAAACUGUUUGACUGGAGUGCAGGAGAGGUAAGUGGAAUUCCUAGUGUAGCGGUGAAAUGCGUAGAUAUUAGGAGGAACACCAGUGGCGAAGGCGGCUUACUGGACUGUAACUGACGUUGAGGCUCGAAAGCGUGGGGAGCAAACAGGAUUAGAUACCCCUGUAA